GAUGAACGCUAGCUACAGGCUUAACACAUGCAAGUCGAGGGGAAACGGCAUUUAGUGCUUGCACCGAAUGGACGUCGACCGGCGCACGGGUGAGUAACGCGUAUCCAACCUUCCCAUUACUGUGGGAUAACCUGCCGAAAGGCAGACUAAUACCGCAUAGUCUUCGUUGACGGCAUCAGAUAUGAAGUAAAGAUUUAUCGGUAAUGGAUGGGGAUGCGUCUGAUUAGCUUGUUGGCGGGGUAACGGCCCACCAAGGCGACGAUCAGUAGCCGACCUGAGAGGGUGAUCGGCCACAUUGGAACUGAGACACGGUCCAAACUCCUACGGGAGGCAGCAGUGGGGAAUAUUGCACAAUGGGCGAAAGCCUGAUGCAGCAACGCCGCGUGAGUGAAGAAGGGUUUCGGCUCGUAAAGCUCUGUUGGUAGUGAAGAAAGAUAGAGGUAGUAACUGGCCUUUAUUUGACGGUAAUUACUUAGAAAGUCACGGCUAACUACGUGCCAGCAGCCGCGGUAAUACGUAGGUGGCAAGCGUUGUCCGGAUUUAUUGGGCGUAAAGCGAGUGCAGGCGGUUCAAUAAGUCUGAUGUGAAAGCCUUCGGCUCAACCGGAGAAUUGCAUCAGAAACUGUUGAACUUGAGUGCAGAAGAGGAGAGUGGAACUCCAUGUGUAGCGGUGGAAUGCGUAGAUAUAUGGAAGAACACCAGUGGCGAAGGCGGCUCUCUGGUCUGCAACUGACGCUGAGCUCGAAAGCAUGGGUAGCGAACAGG
rnacentral:rRNA from 2 species